UGUAGUCCUGCAGGUGCUCAAUGCCUGCUUUGUGAUAUUGUUACAGCGUAGAUGCGGUGUGUUCUGCGUGCUUGUAUGGAACCGACAAACAGAGUCGUGGUGGCGAUAAGCUUGUCUGAUUAAGCACGAAAACCCGGUUGCCUCGUCAGCGUGGUCGUCCGUCACGUGGCAGCAUACGAUUGGUUGGAUGGUGCUGCUGUUUUUCUUUUUUCCCUUCUUUUUUUGCAGUUAAAGAACGGCGGAAUGGUUGUUUGGUAGUAAGCUUCUUUCUUCAUCACCUUCCCACCGGCGCUCUAUUCUGUACUAUACUGUACAACUUCCUCAUGCUGUCCAAUUUUUUUUUUUUUGGGUCAAAAAACAGCGGAAUAGUUGUUUGGUAGUCGGUUGUUGGCUGGCUUUGGCAGAGAGCUUUUCUUUCUUCACCUUCCCAUCGGAGCUCUAUUUCUGUACUGUACCGUACAAUUCCUCUGAUGAGAGAUCGUGACUUUUCUUUGCUUCCUCUUUCUCCUUCUUCCUUGCCAUUUGACUUUCAUGUGGUUGUGUAUUUGUCGUACAAUUUUUGCACAGGCUAUUUUCUCCUUGUGGCUGCUCCUGAACCGGUGAAGCAGUCAUUGGCUAAUGUAGUCGUUGGGCUCCUAGCCCCGUUGAUAUUACCGUUUUAACACUCCGCUUUGCUCUUUUUUACGGUUGCCCUUUUAUUGAAUUUUUUUGUUCUGCUAUUUUCUGGAGGUUGUAUUGGUAAUGUGGUGUUGGAGAAGGUGGGCGAAGUAACUUUGUGCUCAGCAGCUGUACAUUUCGCCCACUGUUUCUUUCUGUUCUAUCCCGAGGAUUAGGUACAGAUUUUGAAAAUUUGCUCCACCACCCUCAUGGGAUUUUGUAAAUUCUGUUUUCUCUUUUGAAGGUCGCCUCUAUAUGGAUUAGAGGCUUUACAGGCAAGGCUAGCUGAGAUGUGUAUUUGAGGGGGCAACAACAACAGAAACCAAAGGAGUUUACUUUUUUGGGUUAAGGUGAAGACCCUCUUGAUCUCAAGA